rnacentral:tRNA from 1 species
GGGCGUGUAGCUCAGCUCGGUUAGAGCAUUAGUCUUAUACACUAAAGGUCCGCGGUUCAAAUCCGCGCGCGCCCA